rnacentral:lncRNA from 1 species
UUUUUUUUGCAGGGGGUGAUUGUGGUACUGAGAUAGGUGAAUGCUAAAGCUUCUAUGUUGACUUUUUCAAUCUCAGGCACUGAGCAAAGUAGCCAUCCAUUAGCAGCCUCUUGGGAGGCAGGGCUCACAGCAGGGCUGAGUGAAGGUGGUGAGGUUGAGGGUCUCCAGGCCCGGAGUUGGCUGGCAGGAGUUGAGCAGGAAGCAGGUGGGCACGCAGGGCUGAGGAAUGUGGCAGGGUGGGGGACAGUUGUCACAGCAGAUGGGCUCCAGUAACCAAACUGUGUGUGGGCAGGUGCUGGGUAGGCAGACUCCACAGCGGCAGCUUUUAUCAAAUGAGCAGAAGGUGGUGGCAGGGCCGGUGGGGACGCUGCAGGAGCGGAGAGCACAGCAAUACAUGGCAAUGGGAGGUGGGUUUUUGUUGAGUUGAGAGAAGUCUGUUGGUGUCUCGAUGCUCCUCUCUUCUGCUCUGGCUCUUAUAUACCCAUCUCCCUGGGCGUCAGCCUAUUACUGAGGGUUUUUCCCCCAUGUUUCAGUUUA